ACUCAAAGGAAUAGACGGGGGCCCGCACAAGCGGUGGAGCAUGUGGUUUAAUUCGAUGCAACGCGAAGAACCUUACCUACCCUUGACAUGUCUGGAAUUUGCGCGAAAGCGUGAAGUGCCGAAAGGAACCAGAACACAGGUGCUGCAUGGCUGUCGUCAGCUCGUGUCGUGAGAUGUUGGGUUAAGUCCCGUAACGAGCGCAACCCCUGUAUUUAAUUGCUACCAUUAAGUUGAGUACAUUAAAUAGACUGUCGGUGAUAAACCGGAGGAAGGUGGGGAUGACGUCAAGUCCUCAUGGCCCUUAUGGGUAGGGCUACACACGUGCUACAAUGGGCAGUACAGAGGGAAGCGAAGCCGCGAGGUGAAGCAAAUCUCACAAAGCUGCUCGUAGUCCGGAUUGGAGUCUGCAACUCGACUCCAUGAAGCUGGAAUCGCUAGUAAUCGCGGAUCAGAAUGCUGCGGUGAAUACGUUCCCGGGCCUUGCACACACCGCCCGU
rnacentral:rRNA from 1 species